GACGGAGGAUGCAAGCGUUAUCCGGAAUGAUUGGGCGUAAAGCGUCCGCAGGUGGCAGUUCAAGUCUGCUGUCAAAGACCGGGGCUUAACUUCGGAAAGGCAGUGGAAACUGAAAAGCUAGAGUAUGGUAGGGGCAGAGGGAAUUCCUGGUGUAGCGGUGAAAUGCGUAGAUAUCAGGAAGAACAUCGGUGGCGAAGGCGCUCUGCUGGACCAUAACUGACACUCAGGGACGAAAGCUAGGGGAGCGAAUGGG
rnacentral:rRNA from 1 species